UGGCCUAAUGGUUAAGCACCAGGCUAGAAAGCAGGAGACCGUGAGUUCAAGUCUCAC
rnacentral:tRNA from 1 species